AUUGAACGCUGGCGACAGGCCUAACACAUGCAAGUCGAGCGCGAAAGUCUUCGGAUGAGUAAAGCGGCGAACGGGUGAGUAAUGCAUGGGAAUCUGCCUGGUAGUGGGGGACAACGUCUCGAAAGGGACGCUAAUACCGCAUACGCCCUACGGGGAAAGGGGGGGAGUCUUCGGACCUCUCGCUAUCAGAUGAGCCCAUGUCAGAUUAGCUAGUUGGUGAGGUAAAGGCUCACCAAGGCGACGAUCUGUAACUGGUCUGAGAGGAUGAUCAGUCACACUGGAACUGAGACACGGUCCAGACUCCUACGGGAGGCAGCAGUGGGGAAUAUUGGACAAUGGGGGGCAACCCUGAUCCAGCCAUGCCGCGUGUGUGAAGAAGGCCUAGGGUGUAAAGCACUUUCAGUGGGAGAAAGGUUAUUCACCUAAUACGUGAGUAGAUUGAUGUUACCCACAGAGAAGGCACCGGCUAACUCCGUGCCAGCAGCCGCGGUAAU
rnacentral:rRNA from 1 species